AUUAGUGAUUUUUAUAGGUCAAACACAAUGUUUUUUAAAAAGUGUUGUCUAUUGUCAAGCCCUCAUCUAAAUCUAGGAUGAUCUGAACCGUUGGAUGCAACUAAGGAGUAGAAAAGACCUAGGUUUCACUUUGGCACCCACCUUUCUCUGAAUCUCUCCUACCAACUCACCAACUCAUGCAUAGUCUUCUCCUCCCUCUCCCCAGUCCGCGAAUCUCUCCUUCGAACUCCUCUCCGUCCAACCUCUCUUCCACAAACCCCUCUCCACGAAUCUCUCCUCCGAACACCUUCAAACAGUGAGGUUUUUUAGCACCAGUCGCGCCUUGCCUUGAAAGCCUUCACUGCCGCUCGAAGCGAGCAGUAGUACGAUGUCGAUCUCAACCUCUACGUGUCUCCACCUUGUCCAGGUGCGGAUCGCGGCAGGAGAUCGAUACGUUGGUUGCUGAUCUAAUGGAGGAGGGAUGACUCUCCACGGAGACCUCCAAGGGGGUUCCCUAAUGGCCGAUUGAUGGUGAGGAGGAGAGCUAAUCGGCGAGCCGAUCAGCGGUGGUGUAGAAGGUCAAGAUUGGAUUUUACUUCGCCACGUGGUGAGCGUUGAACGUGGUGUUCAACAUCUACAACAAGAAGGUUCUUAACGCCUUCCCCUACCCUUGGCUGACCUCCACACUCCCCCUUGCUGCCAGCUAGCUCCCUCAUGUUUUAGGUCAAGUUUGAUUUAACCUCUUCAAAGAACAUGUUGAAAUGACAAAAAGGAUUUGUGGCAAUGCAAAUGUCCGUUACGCAUGGCUUGCUUCCUCCAAGGAUGCGGUGGAUGAGAUGAUGUCUCAUGGGGUUCUGAAGCAACCUGUGCAAAAAUGACUUUAUGGAAAUGGACUUCAUCUUGCCCUUACAAAUUGCUCUGAUAUCUGCAUUGCAUAAGCUUUGUGAAGAUGCUUCGGCAGUUAUGCAGGAUCUAUAAAAUCUUGAAGUUUUGAUCUGGAUAGGCGAGGACUUGGAGAAAUGGAAUCUUUCAUAUGAAGAGGAAGAGGAAAUUGUUAGUGCAAUAACUCUUACACUCAAUACAAUUGUUAACAAGGAGCUGAAGAAGAGUUCACUGUCUAGAUUACUUUCUUCUAGCUACAAAGCCAUUGAGAAACUUAUACACAGUGGUAGAUGUUUUGUCUCAGUCUCAAGCCAUCAAUCCAUUUUGAUCAAUAUAUCUAGUAGAAGUAAGCAUGUAGAUCGUUGUCUUCGAGGCUGGCUAGCUAUUUUGUGCUUUUUUUGUUUUAAAUUUGAAUGUCACUAACUACUUUGAAACAUAAAUAUUUAGUCUUUGUGUAUAGUUGAAUUCUCCUGUAAAUACUAAUACUUUGUAGUUGAAUUCUAUUGUUUGGUA